AGGAGUUGCGUGGAUGGUAGCAACCGGCCCUCUGUUCUUUGCUGGGCAAAUAACAUUGUAAGCGCGAGAUAAUCUUCAUCCUCCUCAUUUUUGCGUUUUUGUAGACAAAAAUAAUGGUAAUUUAAAAAGAAGAUUCUUUUUACCCAGGGGUUUGUUGUCUAUAUUUUAUUCGACAUGGGAAGAAACUGGAGGAUUAUAAGCAGGAAAAUAACACGAUCUGAUGACAAAGUUACGUUUUCCGAUUCCCUGUAACUCAAAGCACAAUCCUGGCAUAUUACUGAAUAAAUUAAAUUCGUUCAUCGAUUACUCCCCAACUUUUGCUUCCUGAAUAAAUAAAUGUUCGCUCAAUUGAUUUACAUAAUAACCAAAGAAUCCCACCCAGAAAAGGCGGCGGAGGCUCAGGAUGUGACUGGAACUCUUUAAAACCUGACAUUUUGGGUUCUGUGGGUGUGAACAAUGGGCGGGGUGCGGUGCCGGACGAGGAGGGGGGUGGGGGCGUUCUGAAUGAGCUUUGUAGAAGGUUGAGAAGAGCUUGGAUUAGAUUUACAGGUACACAAAAUCCGAAUUCUGCUGUCGGUGAGUUGUGCGCUGCGGAGAGACAGGGACUUGAGCUGCACACCCAUCGUCAAAACAAACUGAACUUUGUGCUCAAGGGGAACCAGGUGUAUUUCAUCGUUGCUUUCUGGCUUCUGGCUAUGGUUGGUGGAUGGACAAUAUCAGCAGAGAACACAUACAGGGAGACCAAAAGAGAUCAGGGCAUUUCUGGCAGUGGAACAGUCCUCCCUGAACACAGAUCCUGUGGGGUGCUUUUUCUUCUAGAGCUCCAGUUCUCCAAGAGCUCCAGCAAUACUUCACCCUCCCCUGCCUCCUAUGUUUGGUAUUAGGGAUGUAAGAGCUCCCAUUUAAUCACUAUUAAAAAAAAAAGUGAAUGUA